rnacentral:rRNA from 1 species
AGUGAACGCUGGCGGUAGGCCUAACACAUGCAAGUCGAACGGCAGCACAGUAAGAGCUUGCGCUUACGGGUGGCGAGUGGCGGACGGGUGAGGAAUACAUCGGAAUCUACUUUUUCGUGGGGGAUAACGUAGGGAAACUUACGCUAAUACCGCAUCCGACCUACGGGUGAAAGCAGGGGAUCUUCGGACCUUGCGCGAUUGAAUGAGCCGAUGUCGGAUUAGCUAGUUGGCGGGGUAAAGGCCCACCAAGGCGACGAUCCGUAGCUGGUCUGAGAGGAUGAGCAGCCACACUGGCACUGAGACACGGACCAGACUCCUACAGUAGGCAGCAGUGGGGAAUAUUGGACAAUGGGCGCAAGCCUGAUCCAGCCAUACCGCGUGGGUGAAGAAGGCCUUCGGGUUGUAGAGCCCUUUUGUUGGGAAAGAAAAGCAGCAGGUUAAUACCCCGCUGUUCUGACGGUACCCAAAGAAUAAGCACCGGCUAACUUCGUG